rnacentral:rRNA from 1 species
GACGAACGCUGGCGGCGUGCUUAACACAUGCAAGUCGAGCGACUGCGUUCUCUUCGGAGGGCGUAAGGAGCGGCGAACGGGUGAGUAACACGUUAGCAACCUGCCCUUGGCUUUGGGAUAACCCUCGGAACAGGGGGCUAAUACCUAAUACUUACUCACGGACGCAUGUAUGAUUGUAGAAAGUUUUCCGGCCAGGGAUGGGCUCGCGGCCUAUCAGCUUGUUGGUGAGGUAAUGGCGCACCAAGGCGCCGUCGGGUAACCGGCCUGAGAGGGCGACCGGCCACUCUGGGACUGAGACACAGCCCAGACUCCUACGGGAGGCAGCAGUGGGGAAUAUUGCACAAUGGGCGAAAGCCUGAUGCAGCGACGCCGCGUGGGGUAUGACGGCCUUCGGGUUGUAAACCUCUUUCAGCUCCGUCGAAGGGAAACUGACGGUAGGAGCAGAAGAAGCGCCGGCCAAUUACGUGCCAGCAGCCGCCGUAACAC